rnacentral:rRNA from 1 species
CCUACGGGGGGCAGCAGUGAGGAAUAUUGGUCAAUGGACGAGAGUCUGAACCAGCCAAGUAGCGUGAAGGAUGACUGCCCUCUGGGUUGUAAACUUCUUUUAUAUGGGAAUAAAAUGUUCCACGUGUGCGGUUUUGUAUGUACCAUAUGAAUAAGGAUCGGCUAACUCCGUGCCAGCAGCCGCGGUAAUACGGAGGAUGCGAGCGUUAUCCGGAUUUAUUGGGUUUAAAGGGUUCGUAGGCGGGCAUUUAAGCCGGGGGUCAAAUGUCGGGGCUCAACCCCGGACUGCCUUUGGGUCUGGGUGUCUUGAGUGGGGGAGAGGUAUGCGGAAUGCGGGGUGUAGCGGUGAAAUGCAUAGAUAUACGGAAGAACCCCGAUUGCGAAGGCAGCAUACCGGAGCCUUACUGACGCUGAGGCACGAAAGUGCGGGUAGCGAACAGGAUUAGAUAACCUUGGAGUC